rnacentral:rRNA from 1 species
UACGAAGGGGGCUAGCGUUGCUCGGAAUCACUGGGCGUAAAGCGCACGUAGGCGGACUCUUAAGUCGGUGGUGAAAAUUCUGGAGCUCAACUCCAGAACUGCCUUCGAUACUGGGAGUCUCGAGUCCGGGAGAGGUGAGUGGAACUACGAGUGUAGAGGUGAAAUUCGUAGAUAUUCGCAAGAACACCAGUGGCGAAAGGCGGCGCACCUGGCC